rnacentral:rRNA from 1 species
ACUCCUACGGGAGGCAGCAGUGGGGAAUAUUGCACAAUGGGGGAAACCCUGAUGCAGCCAUGCCGCGUGUGUGAAGAAGGCCUUCGGGUUGUAAAGCACUUUCAGUAGGGAGGAAGGUAGUUAGUUACACCUGCAUUAUUUGACGUUUACCUACAGAAGAGCACCGGCUAACUCCGGUGCCAGCAGCCGCGGUAAUACGGAGGGUGCGAGCGUUAAUCGGAAUUACUGGGCGUAAAGCGCAUGCAGGCGGCCUGUUAAGUCAGAUGUGAAAGCCCGGGGCUUAACCUCGGAAUUGCAUUUGAAACUGGCGGCUAGAGUCUUGUAGAGGGGGGUAGAA